GUCGAACGGAAGUCGUUAUAAAAAGGAUUGAAGAUUUAUCUGAUUGAGAUUUUAUAACAAUGGCUUUAGUGGCGGACUGGUGAGUAACGCGUGAGCAACCUGCCUACUAGAGGGGAAUAACAGUGAGAAAUCAUUGCUAAUACCGCAUAUGCCAUGAACAUCACAUGAUGAAAAUGGGAAAAGAGUAAUCUGCUAGUAGAUGGGCUCGCGUCUGAUUAGAUAGUUGGUGGGGUAACGGCCUACCAAGUCAACGAUCAGUAGCCGGACUGAGAGGUUGAACGGCCACAUUGGGACUGAGAUACGGCCCAGACUCCUACGGGAGGCAGCAGCCGGGAAUAUUGCGCAAUGGAGGAAACUCUGACGCAGUGACGCCGCGUAUAGGAAGAAGGUUUUCGGAUUGUAAACUAUUGUCGUUAGGGAAGAUACAAGACAGUACCUAAGGAGGAAGCUCCGGCUAACUACGUGCCAGCAGCCGCGGUAAUACGUAGGGAGCAAGCGUUAUCCGGAUUUAUUGGGUGUAAAGGGUGCGUAGACGGGACAACAAGUUAGUUGUGAAAUCCCUCGGCUUAACUGAGGAACUGCAACUAAAACUAUUGUUCUUGAGUGUUGGAGAGGAAAGUGGAAUUCCUAGUGUAGCGGUGAAAUGCGUAGAUAUUAGGAGGAACACCGGUGGCGAAGGCGACUUUCUGGACAAUAACUGACGUUGAGGCACGAAAGUGUGGGGAGCAAACAGGAUUAGAUACCCUGGUAGUCCACACCGUAAACGAUGGAUACUAGGUGUAGGAAAUGAUUUCAUUUUCUGUGCCGUCGCAAACGCAAUAAGUAUCCCA
rnacentral:rRNA from 1 species